rnacentral:rRNA from 1 species
AACGAACGCUGGCGGCAGGCUUAACACAUGCAAGUCGAACGCCCCGCAAGGGGAGUGGCGCACGGGUGAGUAACGCGUGGGAACCUACCUAUCGGUACGGAAUAACACAGGGAAACUUGUGCUAAUACCGUAUGAGCUCUACGGAGGAAAGAUUUAUCGCCGAUAGAUGGGCCCGCGUCCGAUUAGCUAGUUGGUGAGGUAACGGCUCACCAAGGCUUCGAUCGGUAGCUGGUCUGAGAGGAUGAUCAGCCACACUGGGACUGAGACACGGCCCAGACUGCUACGGGAGGCAGCAGUGGGGAAUAUUGGACAAUGGGCGCAAGCCUGAUCCAGCCAUGCCGCGUGAGUGAUGAAGGCCUUAGGGUUGUAAAGCUCUUUCGUCGGGGAAGAUAAUGACGGUACCCGAAGAAGAAGCCUCGGCUAACUCCGUGCCAGCCGCCGCCGUAAAAC